rnacentral:rRNA from 1 species
AGUCGAACGCUGAAGCCCCAGCUUGCUGGGGUGGAUGAGUGGCGAACGGGUGAGUAACACGUGAGUAACCUUCCCUUGACUCUGGGAUAAGCCUGGGAAACCGGGUCUAAUACCGGAUGCGACCGUCCACCAGGACAUGGUGGUCGGUGGAAAGAUUUAUCGGUCUUGGAUGGACUCGCGGCCUAUACAGCUUGUUGGURGGGUAAUGGCCCACCAAGGCGACGCACGGGUAGCCGGCCUGAGAGGGUGACCGGCCACACUGGGACUGAGACACGGCCCAGACUCCUACGGGAGGCAGCAGUGGGGAAUAUUGCACAAUGGGCGCAAGCCUGAUGCAGCGACGCCGCGUGAGGGAUGACGGCCUUCGGGUUGUAAACCUCUUUCAGUAGGGAAGAAGCGAAAGUGACGGUACCUGCAGAAGAAGCGCCGGCUAACUACGUGCCAGCAGCCGCGGUAAUACGUAGGGCGCGAGCGUUAUCCGGAAUUAUUGGGCGUAAAGAGCUCGUAGGCGGUUUGUCGCGUCUGCCGUGAAAGUCCGGGGCUUAACCCCGGAUCUGCGGUGGGUACGGGCAGACUGGAGUGCAGUAGGGGAGACUGGAAUUCCUGGUGUAGCGGUGAAAUGCGCAGAUAUCAGGAGGAACACCGAUGGCGAAGGCAGGUCUCUGGGCUGUUACUGACGCUGAGGAGCGAAAGCAUGGGGAGCGAACAGGAUUAGAUACCCUGGUAGUCCAUGCCGUAAACGUUGGGCACUAGGUGUGGGGGCCAUUCCACGGUUUCCGCGCCGCAGCUAACGCAUUAAGUGCCCCGCCUGGGGAGUACGGCCGCAAGGCUAAAACUCAAAGGAAUUGACGGGGGCCCGCACAAGCGGCGGGAGCAUGCGGAUUAAUUCGAUGCAACGCGAAGAACCUUACCAAGGCUUGACAUGUUCCCGACCGCCACAGAGAUGUGGUUUCCCCUUUGGGGGCGGGUUCACAGGUGGUGCAUGGUUGUCGUCAGCCUCGUGUCGUGAGAUGUUGGGUUAAGUCCCGCAACGAGCGCAAUCCCUCGUUCCAUGUUGCCAGCGGGUUAUGCCGGGGACUCAUGGGAGACUGCCGGGGUCAACUCGGAGGAAGGUGGGGACGACGUCAAAUCAUCAUGCCCCUUAUGUCUUGGGCUUCACGCAUGCUACAAUGGCCGGUACAAUGGGUUGCGAUACGUGUGAGGUGGAGCUAAUCCCAAAAAGCCGGUCUCAGUUCGGAUUGGGGUCUGCAACUCUGACCCCAUGAAGUCUGGAGUCGCUAGUAAUCGCAGAUCAGCAACGCUGCGGUGAAUACGUUCCCGGGCCUUGUACACACCGCCCGUCAAGUCACGAAAGUCGGUAACACCCGAAGCCGGUGGCCCAACCCUUGUGGGGGGA